GAAGACCCAGAAGUAGGAGGAGAUCACACCAGGGAGGAUUUUCAGAUCUCCCUUUUUAUUCCUUUCAUACUGAAUUCUACUGGAAGACGCUGUGGUUGGCACCAAGACACAAGAAUGAACCGCCACAGCCUCCGGCCUCCUAGCUCACAGAGAGGAACGGUGACACUUGGUGACCCAGCGAUGAGAUCAGCGUUGCAUAUGUGCUUCAUUCGUUUUUAAAAAGUAGAAGAUACAAACAACUGAAAAGAAGAAAAUGAAACAUCUCUAUGCAGCCAGAUCUUGGUUUCUAAAUGCCAAUAUCCACUCCAAGCCACCAGUCCCCAUGGAGAAGUGGCUGAUUCCAAGGUUACAGCAUAGAGAGGCUGAGAGAAGUCUGGAACGUCUAAGCUGUGCCAAAAGGAAGACAAGAAGGGCUAAGCAGGCAAACACACAAAAAGAUUACGGAGCAUGUCAAAAAGGCACAGAAGCAUGCGUGAACAGCCCCCGCUGGGCAAACUGGCUCGACCUAGGAUAAAUUCUGAGCAUCAAGAUAAAAAUGGACAGUGAUGAAUCUUAAC